rnacentral:rRNA from 1 species
AAUGAACGCUGGCGGCGUGCCUAAUACAUGCAAGUCGAGCGACAGCACAGUAAGAUCUCGCCCUUACGGGUGGCGAGGGGCGGACGGGUAAGGCAUACAUCAGAUUCUACUUUUUCGUGGGUAACUCGGGGGAAAAGUUGCUCUUAUCGGGCAUACUACUUACCGGCGUAAUUCGAUAGUGUUCGGAGGUUUUGCGAUUGAAUGUGGCGGUGUCGGAUUAGCUAGUUGGCGGGGUAAAGGUCCACCAAGGCCACGAUCCGUAGCCGUUCUGAGAGGAUGAUCCGCCACACUGGAACUGAGACACGGUCCAGACUCCUACGGGAGGCAGCAGUGGGGAAUAUUGGGCAAUGGGCGAAAGCCUGACCGAGCAAUACCGCGUGAGUGAAGAAGGUCUUCGGGUCGUAAAGCCCUUUUGUUAGGGAAGAACAGAAGGAGGUUAAACUCCGGACGUUCUGACGGUACCUAAAGAGUAAGCACCGGCUAACUUCGUG